UACGUAGGGUGCAAGCGUUGUCCGGAAUUAUUGGGCGUAAAGAGCGUGUAGGCGGCCAGGUAGGUCUGCUGUGAAAACUCGAGGCUCAACCUCGAGACGUCGGCGGAAACCAUCUGGCUAGAGUCCGGAAGAGGAGAGUGGAAUUCCUGGUGUAGCGGUGAAAUGCGCAGAUAUCAGGAAGAACACCCGUGGCGAAGGCGGCUCUCUGGGCCGAUACUGACGCUGAGGAGCGAAAGCGUGGGGAGCGAACAGG
rnacentral:rRNA from 1 species